rnacentral:rRNA from 1 species
GAUGAACGCUGGCGGCGUGCCUAAUACAUGCAAGUCGAGCGAACGGACGAGAAGCUUGCUUCUCUGAUGUUAGCGGCGGACGGGUGAGUAACACGUGGAUAACCUUCCUAUAAGACUGGGAUAACUUCGGGAAACCGGAGCUAAUACCGGAUGAUAUUUUGAACCGCAUGGUUCAAAAGUGAAAGACGGUCUUGCUGUCACUUAUAGAUGUAUCCGCGCUGCAUUAGCUAGUUGGUAAGGUAACGGCUUACCAAGGCAACGAUGCAUAGCCGACCUGAGAGGGUGAUCGGCCACACUGGAACUGAGACACGGUCCAGACUCCUACGGGAGGCAGCAGUAGGGAAUCUUCCGCAAUGGGCGAAAGCCUGACGGAGCAACGCCGCGUGAGUGAUGAAGGUCUUCGGAUCGUAAAACUCUGUUAUUAGGGAAGAACAUAUGUGUAAGUAACUGUGCACAUCUUGACGGUACCUAAUCAGAAAGCCACGGCUAACUACGUG